CCGGUGGGGACGGGGAGGAGUCGCGGGGUUCUGAGCCCUAGAACUGGGGUGCAGGAAGAGCUGUGCACGGGACCGUGGCUAACCAUGCGCGCUGCUUCCACCGCCGGACCCUGGUCCGUAAGACUAAGAAAAACCACAGGAAGUGUCCACACAGGUUGAUGCUGAGCAAGGGCAGAAGAGGAUCUUGGGGCUUUACUCGUGAGGUGGAUUAUGUUAUCUUCAUUUUCAAAAACAAGAGAAUGAAGAAAGAAAAGAGGAAUGCAACCAAGAAAAAAAAGAAGGCAAAGAAAAAAAAGAAAAGACUGAAGCCUGUAACCUUUUAUUAGCCUGUAUUUUGAGACCGUUGUCAGGCAUAAGGUAGUCCCUCCUAAAAGGAUGCAGCUUGAGACCUUGUCCCGGUACCAAGAUUAUGUUUAAGGAAAGGCCUUUGGACAGUGAGGAGAGAGAGAAAAGAAGAUAUCACCUGCUCCCAGCACUCCAAGAGAGCCCAACUGCCACUCCCAGAGACUAACUGCCACCUCCUUCAGAGCAACAGCCACACCCAGAGAGUAACUGACACAGAAAAACCAUUACACUGUCUCAGAUCUGUUUCAAACCAGCUUCUCUCCUUCUUGUCUCUAAACUAAUAUGACAAGACUUAAUUUCUAAUGUCAUCCUUAUACUCCAAGUUAAAUUCUGAAAUAAAUGAGUCCAGAAGUUCA